rnacentral:rRNA from 1 species
AGCGGCAAACGGGUGAGUAACACGUAGCUAACCUGCCUCCGCGACGGGGAUAACAGCUCGAAAGGGCUGCUAAUACCCGAUAUGCUCACGGGGGUUCGCCCUCGCGAGGAAAGCUCCCGCAAGGGAGCGCGCGGAGAGGGGGCUGCGGCCUAUCAGCUUGUUGGUGAGGUAACGGCUCACCAAGGCGAUGACGGGUAGGGGGCGUGAGAGCGUGGCCCCCCACAUGGGGACUGAGACACGGCCCUGACUCCUACGGGAGGCAGCAGUGGGGAAUCUUCGGCAAUGGGCGCAAGCCUGACCGAGCGACGCCGCGUGGGGGAUGAAGGCCUUCGGGUUGUAAACCCCUUUUCAGGGGGACGAAUAAGUCCGGGAGGCAAUGCCCGGAUGAUGACGGUACCCCUGGAAGAAGCCACGGCUAACUCUGUGCCAGCAGCCGCGGUAAGACAGAGGCGGCGAGCGUUACCCGGAUUCACUGGGCGUAAAGGGUGUGUAGGCGGUCGCGUGUGUCCCUGGUGAAAUCUCCCUGCUCAACGGGGAGAGGUCCAAGGAAACUACGCGGCUGGAGGGCCGGAGAGGGAGGCGGAACUUCCAGAGUAGCGGUGAAAUGCGUAGAUACUGGAGGGUACCUCAAUAGCGAAGGCAGCCUCCUUGUCCUGUUUCCUGACGCUGAUGGCACGAAAGCGUGGGGAGCAAACCCGGAUUAGAUACCCGGGUAGUCCACGCCCCUAAACGAUGCCGACUAGGUGUUGGCCUCGCACAUGCUGGGCCAGUGCCGCAGCUAACGCGGUAAGUCGGCCGCCUGGGGUGUACGGCCGCAAGGUUGAAACUCAAGGGAAUUGACGGGAGCCCGCACAAGCGGUGGAGCACGUGGUUCAAUUCGAUGGUAAGCGAAGAACCUUACCAGGGCUUGACAUGCCCGUAGUACGGACCCGAAAGGGCGAGGAGCCUUUGUAGAAAUACAGAGGCAGCGGGCACAGGUGCUGCAUGGCUGUCGUCAGCUCGUGCCGUGGGGCGUCGGGUUAAGUCCCAUAACGAGCGCAACCCCUACCCCUAGUUGCCAUCAGGUCCGCUGGGCACUCUAGGGGAACUGCCGGUGAAUAGCCGGAGGAAGGAGGGGAUGACGUCAAGUCAGCAUGGCCCUUAUGUCCUGGGCGACACACGUGCUACAAUGGGCGGUACAAAGGGUUGCCAACCCGCAAGGGGGAGCUAAUCCCAAAAGCCGCCCUCAGUUCGGAUUGAGGUCUGCAACCCGACCUCAUGAAGCUGGAAUCGCUAGUAAUCGCGGAUCAGCCACGCCGCGGUGAAUACGUACUCGGGCUUUGUACACACCGCCCGUCACACCAGCCGAGCGGGAGCGGCUCGAAGUCCCGCAAGGGCCGAAGGCCGCUUUCGUGAGGGGGGUG